rnacentral:rRNA from 1 species
AUUGAACGCUGGCGGCAGGCCUAACACAUGCAAGUCGAACGGUAACAGGAAGAAGCUUGCUUCUUUGCUGACGAGUGGCGGACGGGUGAGUAAUGUCUGGGAAACUGCCUGAUGGAGGGGGAUAACUACUGGAAGCGGUAGCUAAUACCGCAUAACGUCGCAAGACCAAAGAGGGGGACCUUCGGGCCUCUUGCCAUCGGCUGUGCCCAGAUGGGAUUAGCUAGUAGGUGGGGUAACGGCUCACCUAGGCGACGAUCCCUAGCUGGUCUGAGAGGAUGACCAGCCACACUGGAACUGAGACACGGUCCAGACUCCUACGGGAGGCAGCAGUGGGGAAUAUUGCACAAUGGGCGCAAGCCUGAUGCAGCCAUGCCGCGUGUAUGAAGAAGGCCUUCGGAUUGUAAAGUACUUUCAGCGGGGAGGAAGGGAGUAAAGUUAAUACCUUUGCUCAUUGACGUUACCCGCAGAAGAAGCACCGGCUAACUCCGUG